rnacentral:rRNA from 1 species
GACGAACGCUGGCGGCGUGCUUAACACAUGCAAGUCGAACGAGGAGGGACGGUUGGGUGCGUCUUUGAAUGGUGAAGGGGAACGUGUGAGGAACGCGGAAUGAACUUGCCCUUCGGAUGGCGACAAGAGAUGGAGACGACUGCUAAAUCCGCAUACGUGCUAAUUGGGGGAGGGAGGAAGGAUGCAAGGGGGCGGCGAAGAGUAAGCGAGCAUUGAAGUGUGGGAGUGGGUCUGAUUAGCUAGUGGGAGGGGUAACGGCCGACCAAGGCGAUGAUCAGUAGCCGGUCUGAGAGGAUGAACGGCCACAUUGGGACUGAGACACGGCCCAGACUCCUACGGGAGGCAGCAGUGGGGAAUCUUCCGCAAUGGACGAAAGUCUGACGGAGCAACGCCGCGUGAGUGAUGACGGCCUUCGGGUUGUAAAGCUCUGUUAAUCGGGACGAAAGGCCUUCUUGCGAAUAGUGAGAAGGAUUGACGGUACCGGAAUAGAAAGCCACGGCUAACUACGUG